UCGACUGUUUUACCAAAAACAUAGCUUAUAGUGAAUAUAUUAUAAUUAUAGGUGGGACUUGGUCAAUGGAUUGAUUUUUUAAAAUCAAUUUAAAUUCAAGCUUUAGCGUGAGAGUAAUAAUGUAGCGUAAUUAUUUGGUAUUUAAUUGGUGCCUGGUAUGAAUAGUGAAACGAUUCUAAUACUGUCUCUGUAUCUAAUUAAAUGAAUUUUAAUUGAUAGUUAAGAUGCUAUCUUUUAUAAGAAAGACGAAAAGUCCCUAUAAACCUUUACUAAAAUCUAGGAUUUUAUUUUAAAAAAUCCUAGAAAUUUAGUUUAACUGGGGCAGUUACACUUUAUAAUAAAAAGUAUUUUUAUUUGUAAUAAUUUUAUUAUUUUACAAAAGUCUAAUAUUUAAUAUUAAUUAAAAGACUAUUAUCAUAAUAAUGACCUUAUAUUUAAACUAAAACAAAAAUAUAAUUUAAAAGAUAAAAGGUACUUUAGGGAUAACAGCGUAGUUUUAAGAGAGAGUAUGAAAUCAAUCUUAAAGUUCGCGACCUCGAUGUUGAAUAAGGUUUUCCCUCUAGUGUAGAUAUUAGAAAAGGUUAGUUUGUUCAACUAUUAAAAACUUACAUGAUUUGAGUUCCAUCCGUA
rnacentral:rRNA from 1 species